rnacentral:lncRNA from 1 species
UUUUUUUAAAUAAUAUAUAAUAAGAAUACUUCACGUUUCGUCUCUCCCUCACGUUUCCUCUUAACCACAUCCACACUCCACCCCACCUUACCACGUUACCUCUCUCUCUGCUGAUAAAAAAAGAAAAAAACAAAAGAACAGGGCCCUCACACGUUAUCUCCUCCCAUUCUCACUGCAAAAAGCUUAUCCCUUCCUCAUUCCAAAUUACAUCCACC